rnacentral:rRNA from 1 species
AGUGAAUAGAUACCCGGGUAGUCCCAGCUGUAAACGAUGCGCGUUAGGUGUAUCGGUGACCACGAGUCACCGAGGUGCCGAAAGGGAAACCGUGAAACGUGCCGCCUGGGAAGUACGGUCGCAAGGCUGAAACUUAAAGGAAUUGGCGGGGGAGCACCACAACAGGUGGAGCCUGCGGUUUAAAUCGGACUCAACGCCGGGAAGCUCACCGGAUAAGACAGCUGAAUGAUAGCCGGGUUGAAGACUCUGCUUGACUAGCUGAGAGGAGGUGCAUGGCCGUCGUCAAAUUCGUACUGUGAAGCAUCCUGUUAAGUCAGGCAACGAGCGAGACCCACGCCAACAGUUGCCAGCAUGUCCUCCGGGAUGGUGGGGACACUGUUGGGACCGCCUCUGCUAAAGAGGAGGAAGGAAUGGGCAACGGUAGGUCAGCAUGCCCCGAAUUAUCCGGGCUACACGCGGGCUACAAUGGUCAGGACAAUGGUAUCAACACCGAAAGGUGAAGGCAAUCUCCUAAACCUGUCCUUAGUUCGGAUUGUGGGCU